rnacentral:rRNA from 1 species
AUUGAACGCUGGCGGCAGGCCUAACACAUGCAAGUCGAGCGAGCGGCGGACGGGUGAGUAAUGUAUGGGGACUGCCCGAUAGAGGGGGAUAACUACUGGAAACGGUAGCUAAUACCGCAUACUAUCGGAUAACCCAUAUGGGAUUAGCUAGUUGGUGAGGUAAUGGCUCACCAAGGCGACGAUCCCUAGCUGGUCGGAGAGGAGGAACAGCCACACGGGGACGGAGACAAGUGCCAGACUCCUACGGAGGCAGCAGUGGGGAAUAUUGCACAAUGGGCGAAAUCCUGAUGCAGCCAUGCCGAGUGUAUUAAGAAGGCCUUAGGGUUGUAAAGUACUUUCAGUCGGGAGGCGUUACCGAAAGAAGAAGCACCGGCUAACUCCGUGCCAGCAGCCGCGGUAAUUC